rnacentral:lncRNA from 1 species
UUUUUUUUUUUUUUUGUCUUUUUGUCUUGUUGUUGUUGUUCUUGUUGCUAUUUCUUGGGUCGCUCCCUUGGCAUAUGGAGAUUCCCAGGCUAGGGGUCAAAUCAGAGCUGGAGCUGCCAGCCUACACCACAGCCACAGCAACAUCAGAUUCAAGCCUUGUCUGCAACCUACGUCACAGUUCACGGCAAUGCUGGAUCCUUAACCCACUGAGCAAGGCCAGGAAUGGAACCCGCAACCUCAUGGUUCCUGGUCAGAUUCAUUUCUGCUGCACCAUGAUGAGCACUCCCCAAACCACUUUUUAAACAAACAUAAAACAAACAAACAAAACCAUUAUAAUCUCCUGGGAGAAAUGAGUCACUUUUUCUAUAUUAAGGAAUAUAGAACUCAGCUGAUCACCAAGUACCAAGUAAGACAAAAGACAGAAAGAAACCCCUCUGAUGGGAAAAAUUUAUUUGUAAUCUUCUAACUGGAUCCCCAUUGGUGUUAAUUAUUUCUACAGUUCUCUCAAAGCCCACUAAAAUUCCACCUCUUCUGUGAGAAAUACGAAAAGGUACAUGACAGGGCCCACCUGUUUUAUAGGUAUUUCAAAAUCUGCACAUCUGGGGCUGAACUUACACUUUUGUCCUCACACCUUGGUCCUCUCUCAGGGUCACAUGGCUUCAACAACUUUUCUCAAAACAAAAUUGAAAGACAUCCCUUUCCCUUCCUUGUCUUUCACUCCAUUAACUCCAAUAUCCUAUUAAUAAUUAAGUCCCUCCUUAUCCAUCUCCUAAGUACCAUCAGAUCAUAAGUACCAUCUGAAUCCACCCUACCUCUACCACCCUUGAUAAAGCCAUCAUCUUCUCUCUCCUGGACAUUUGCCAAAAGCUUCUCAAAUGGUCUCCAGGUACACACUCUUGCUCCAUUCUGGAGUCAAAAGGGUCUGAAAGAUGAAACCUAUCUCAGAUAGCUUCCAGCUGCCCAUAGGAUAAGUUCCAAACUCCUUAGCCUCAAGGUCCUGCAUGAUCUGCCACUUGUUACCUUGUAACUUGUUAUAGGCUCUUUCUCCCAUCACCUUCUCCCGGCUGCCUGAGGACUCAAGCCAUGUUGGUCCUUGUCCCUCCAAAGAGGAGGCCAGGCUCUUACUCAUCCCAGAGCUUCAUCCAUGCUGUGCCCCCUCCUUCUCUCCUGCUUCCUUUCCCUCUCCUUCUAGCCAGGUCCUACUCCGCCUUCAGAUCUCGACUCCACAUCCUCAGGUAAGCAGUCCCGGACACCUGCCCCCCUGGAUUAGGUCCCCUCCUAGAUAUUCCCACAGCUCUUUAUAUCUCUCCUUUGUAACCCACAAUGUACUGUUAAGUCCUUGUUCACUGUCUAUUUAGAAGUUAGAAAUUACAAGAUAACAGGGACUGUCUCUUCUUCAAUCGCUGCUGCAUCCCAGGUUCUCGGCAUCUAAUUUAUGCUCAAAUAGUUGCCGAAUCAAUAAAUGAAUGAAUGAUGUGCUGUCUAAAUCAGUGACUCAUAAACUUUGCGCUGCAGAAGAAUCAACUGAGAAGCCAACAGGCCGAUCUGUGAUCAGUCCCAGAAUCUACCUUUUCAACAAGAAUCCAGGGGAUUUGGAUGCAGAUCUUCCUAACUUUAGGAAGCAUUCCUCCAGGAUACAGAGAGCGAGGGCAGAGGAUUGAGGUUAAAGAGACAAAAGGGAGCAAAAUGGGAGAACUUAAAUAACAAGUGACGAUUUAUGUAACUGUUCAAACAACCGCUGAACAUCUGAAGGGCUAAAUGACAGACUGUCAGAUUCAUUCCUCAGACAACAAAGAGCCCAGAAUGGUUAGAAGCAGCAGCUACCUGAUGUGGCUGGAGGUCAGAGGAGGUAUUAAAAUGGGAAAAUUAGUUUGCUCUUGUGCUAAAGGUUGGGUAAUGUUGGAAAGAAGGGGAGGAGGGCAAAUGGUAUUGCAGGCAGAUAUACAAGUAGGAAGCAGGAGUUCAGUAAGAGGGCAAGAAGUGAAGCACUUUACUGAAGAGCAGGCUCAGGAACUGAGUGGUCGGGGAUGUGACUGGAAAUACAGGGAAGGGCCUGACCAUAGAGGUCCUUGAAGUUAAUGAAGGGGAUCAGAACAGGCCACCUCAAAAUACAGUGCUUUGGCUUAAGGAUCAUUUUGAGCUGAAGGCAAUUGAAAAAUAGCAGAUGCAGGAGGAACUCUCUGUCCUCCCCUUUCUGCCUAAAAGCAGGGCAUAAAUUUCCCUUUGUGAAGGCGUCCCCUUCUCCUCCUCCAUACAGGGAAGGGGAGAUGCCUCGGACAGUACCACCUCGAGUCUGCAUAACACAUCUUAUUAACUCCUUAUCCUCCAGGAGUUUCUCCCAUAUAUUUGCCUUCUCACAACCUUCUCUAGAAGCCCAAACCUCUUUUCUUUUUUAAAAAAUUGGAGUAUAAUUGAAAUUCGAAUUGGUACAGUGUUGUGCCAGUUACAGCAUAGUGACGCAGUCAUACAUUCUUUUUCUCGUGUUAUCUUCCAUCAUGUUCUAUCCCAGGAGAUUGGAUAGAGUUCCCCGUGCUGUACAGCAGGAUCUCACUGCUUACCCAUUCUAAAUGUAAUAGUGUGCAUCUACCAGCCCCAAACUCUUUUCUUUUAUCUGUUGUCUUGUCAUCUCUCCUCAAUUUAUCACCUGUUGUUAAAAUGGUAUAUAUGCUUGCAGGCCCAACUGCUUGUAGGGUUUUUCAAUGAUUUUAUUGUGCAGUUUCUAGUGUGCAUGUGAAAUAAACAUUUUUCAACUGUUGCUCUGUCUUUUGUCCACUUAGUUUACAGGCCUCAGUCACUGAACUUAAGAGUGGUAGAAGAAAAGAUUCUUUCCUCUACAAUAAGAAAGAGAAUGACAGGAAAAAACUCCCCCAAAGUAACACCUGACUUGCAAUUUAAAUGAAGUGUUAAAACGUGGGAUACUUAAAAGGAAAUACUCAUUUUUUUUGAUAUAAUAUACCACAUUGCCCCUGAAACACUAAAAGACUUCUCCAUAAGGUAGCCUUCAUAUAUGUUAUAAAAAUACAGGGGAAAAAAAAUCAAGGCAAAAGGAAAAGGUGACACUUACGUCAUGUCAUGGAAGUGCUUAGUUCUAAGACAACUGAGUGCUGAGAAAUUUCAAAGGAAAUGAAAGAACUGAAAUAUAAGUCUAACUUUGAACUCAGUUAACAUAAGAAGAGUCCCUUUUUUCUGUCUUAACUUAUUUCAUGUCUGCUUUGAUAAGUCGUGGGAAGGAAUUGAAGGGGAUCAGGACAUGCUUUUCUAAAAUAUGCCACUUUGGCAUAAGGAUUAUUUUGAACUGAAAGCAAUUAAGAAACAGCAGACCCAGGAGAAAGUGUCUGCCCUUCCACUUUCUACCUAAAAGCAGGGCAUAAACUUUCCUUUAUGAAGGUGUUUCCCAUUCCUGUACUGGGAAGAGGAAGGCAACUCUUAUCACUGCAGACAGAGUCAGCCCUGAGAUGAGUCUGCAUAAACAAACCUUACUAAAAUAACCCUUAUCUUCCAUUAGUUUCCCUCCAUAUAUUUUCUACUCAUUCAAAGCCCAAACAAAGGAGAGCCUUUGUUAAAAUGAUAGAUAAGUCCCUGAGUUUAUCACUUCUUUGCAUUUAACUUCUUUUCUGAGAACUCUCACGCAUGAAUGAUAUCGAUGAAAUGUAUAUUUCUUUUCUCCUCCUAAUCUGUUUUUUGGUCAGUUAAAUUCGCAGGCCCCCAGACACUGAACCUAAGAGGGUAGAGGAAAAGGUCCCCCCGCCCCCCGGCCCAACAGAAUCUAGUUGAUGGAAUUAGAAUGUCACAAUCCAUUAUAUGAUGGCUGACUGAAUCAAAGAGAGGGUAUAAAAAGGCACAAAGAAAAACUCCAGAAUUUCACCCUGACUAGGUCCUGCCACAGCCCCCACAACCAGCUCCUGAACUGCUACAUGUGGAACCUGCAAGUAGUCCAGGAAUGGUGCUCAAAAGACCAGGCUUUAAGUCCAAGUUCUAUCACUUCCAAGCCAGAUGGAUUCCCCUCACUUCAACUACAGAUUCUUUAUCUGUGAAACGGGGAUUUUUUUUUUUUUUUGCCAUCAUUACAGGGUUGUGAGCAACCAAUAAGCAUUUGUAAACUGUAAGUCAGUUUAUAAAUAGAAGGCAUUAUUAAAUUCUAUCAAUAGGUAACAUAAUAGCAAAGGAGAUUUCAUCUUUUUUUCUUAAAUUACUAUGCAAGUGACAUUCAAGAAAACAGUUGUAGGAGAUGAUAUGAGAUAAAAUGGUGAAAUAAUUACAAAUGAUGCAACAAUACUCUUAUGUGUAUACGUUCUCUCUUUGGCUUUACUUCAUUUGCUUUCUUGAGAAUAAAUAUCUUAAACCCCAGCAGUACAUCAGUGUUACUCUCUGAAGGCUAAAUACUGCAAAAAUUUAUAUCUGAUAUUUAGGAAAAGUGCCAAACCUGGCGAUAUCUGUACACACACUGGAUCCAAGAUUCAGCAAACAGAUGCUCUUUCUUGCAAUCAGCCAAGAACUUCUAAUAUUCUGACAACUUGUUAAUCAACCAACAUAUGGUAUCACUUUAGUAAACACAACACUCAGAUUUUGCUUUACAGGGCACUUUCUGAGAGAUAUAAUGGUCCUGACUCAUCAACCCUAUUCACUGGAAAUCAGGGGAAGCUAGGCUGCACCACCCACCUUAAAUUUGUUUAAUUACUUGGGGAAAAAAUAAAUAUGGGCAUCGAUGUGGAUUCUGUGCAUUUUUUUUUCUGAGAUGAGAUUUUUAAAAAUGCCAUCUUUUGAGACAUCUGUAAAAGCAGUAGAAUACCUUUAUUCUACAGAUUUACAUAUAUAUAUGUAUAAUAUAUCCAAAAUGCCUGAAGUUCCUGCAUUAGACUCCUAGGGCUGCUGUAACAAAUUACAGCAAACUAGCUGGCUUGGAACAAGAUACAUUUAUUUUUUGACCUUCUGGAGGCUAGAAGUCUGAAAUGGAGUUGUUGGCUAGGCUAUGCUCCUUCUGAAGCCUCUGGUGUGUGAGUGUGGGGGGUCCUUCUUUGCCUCUUCCAGCUUCUCAUGGCCCCAAGCCCAUUUUGGCUCCUGGCAUGUAACUCACCUGCACGUGGCCCUCUUCCUCAUGUUUGUGUCCAGAUUUUACUCUUAUUUUAAGGACCUCAGUCAUACUGAACUAGGGACCACUGCACUCCGUUGUGACCACAUCUUAACCUGAUUACAUCCAAACAGGGUCACGUUCACAGGUAUAGCCGGAGUCAGGACCUCACAUAUCCUUUCCAGGUAUAUGAUGCAACCCACAAGCGUUCCAAAUGGACAGAUCUGAUCGUACGAGGUGAUCUGGUGGUCCUAUCAGCCAUGUGUGGGCCUUUUCUCCCGAUGCUCUUCCUGUGGCAGAAUUUCCCCUCUUUUUUUUUUUUUUUUUUUAGGGCCACACCCAUGGCAUAUGGAAGUUGUUGGGCUAGGGGUGAAAUUGGAGCUGCAGCUGUAGACCUAUACCACAGUGCACGGCAACGUUGGAUCCUUAACCCACUGAAAAAGGCCAGGGAUUGAACCUGCAUCCUCACAGAUACUAUGUUGGGUUCUUAACCUGCUGAGCCAUAAGGAGAACUCCAGAAUUUCCCCCUUUUUUAUGGCUGAAUAAUAGUCCACCAAAAAUUCACUCCCCCCCACCAACAUUCAUAUCUUCGAACAGAGUAAAAUCUUUGAACUCCACCUUAAAAAUAUAUCCCAACAAUAACUCCUCCUUCCAUUUCCACUGUCCCCUGUGGGU